UUGAACGCUGGCGGCAUGCCUUACACAUGCAAGUCGAACGGGUAGGGGGGCAACCCUUGAGAGUGGCGAACGGGUGAGUAAUGCAUCGGAACGUGCCCAGUCGGUGGGGGAUAACGCAGCGAAAGCUGUGCUAAUACCGCAUGUGAUCUGUGGAUGAAAGCAGGGGACCGCAAGGCCUUGUGCGAUUGGAGCGGCCGAUGUCAGAUUAGCUAGUUGGUAGGGUAAAAGCCUACCAAGGCGACGAUCUGUAGCUG
rnacentral:rRNA from 1 species